rnacentral:rRNA from 1 species
CCUACGGUGCGCAGCAGUGGGGAAUAUUGGACAAUGGGCGAAAGCCUGAUCCAGCCAUGCCGCGUGUGUGAAGAAGGCCUUCGGGUUGUAAGGCACUUUCAGUGGGGAAGAAAGCCUUGGGGCUAAUACCCUCGAGGAAGGACAUCACCCACAGAAGAAGCACCGGCUAACUCCGUGCCAGCAGCCGCGGUAAUACGGAGGGUGCGAGCGUUAAUCGGAAUUACUGGGCGUAAAGCGCGCGUAGGCGGUCUGAUAAGCCGGUUGUGAAAGCCCCGGGCUCAACCUGGGAACGGCAUCCGGAACUGUCAGGCUAGAGUGCAGGAGAGGAAGGUAGAAUUCCCGGUGUAGCGGUGAAAUGCGUAGAGAUCGGGAGGAAUACCAGUGGCGAAGGCGGCCUUCUGGACUGACACUGACGCUGAGGUGCGAAAGCGUGGGUAGCAAACAGGAUUAGAUACCCGAGUAGUC